rnacentral:misc_RNA from 1 species
AAGUCGUAACAAGGUUUCCGUAGGUGAACCUGCGGAAGGAUCAUUAACGAGUUUACUGAGUUGUCGCUGCCCUCUCGGGGGGGAUGUGCACGCUCUUUCACUCAUCUAUACACCUGUGCACCUAUGCGAGUCAAUGGGGGAUUAGCGAAAGAGACCUGCAAAGGUUUCGACUAGCGUUCUCUGUCGGCUCGAUUUUUUAUAAACUCUUGUAUGUCUUAGAAUGUCUACUUUGCUUAACGCAAUAAAUACAACUUUCAACAACGGAUCUCUUGGCUCUC